rnacentral:rRNA from 1 species
AUUGAACGCUGGCGGCAUGCCUUACACAUGCAAGUCGAACGGCAGCGGACCUUCGGGUGCCGGCGAGUGGCGAACGGGUGAGUAAUAUAUCGGAACGUACCUUUCAGUGGGGGAUAACGUAGCGAAAGUUACGCUAAUACCGCAUAUUCUGUGAGCAGGAAAGCAGGGGAUCGCAAGACCUUGCGCUGAUUGAGCGGCCGAUAUCAGAUUAGCUAGUUGGUGAGGUAAAGGCUCACCAAGGCGACGAUCUGUAGCGGGUCUGAGAGGAUGAUCCGCCACACUGGAACUGAGACACGGUCCAGACUCCUACGGGAGGCAGCAGUGGGGAAUUUUGGACAAUGGGCGCAAGCCUGAUCCAGCCAUGCCGCGUGAGUGAUGAAGGCCUUAGGGUUGUAAAGCUCUUUUACCAGGAAUGAUAAUGACAGUACCUGGAGAAUAAGCUCCGGCUAACUCCGUGCCAGCAGCCGCGGUAA